AUUGAACGCUGGCGGCAGGCCUAAAACAUGCAAGUCGAACGAGUGGCGGACGGGUGAGUAAUGUCUGGGAAACUGCCCGAUGGAGGGGGAUAACUACUGGAAACGGUAGCUAAUACCGCAUACCAUCGGAUGUGCCCAGAUGGGAUUAGCUAGUCGGGGGGGUAACGGCUCACCUAGGCGACGAUCCCUAGCUGCUCUGAGAGUAUAACCAGCUACACUGGAACUGAGACACGGUCCAGACUACUACGGGAGGCAGCAGUGGGAAAUAUUGCACAAUGUGCGCAAGCCUGAUGAAGCCAUGCCGCGUGUAUUAAGAAGGCCUUAGGGUUGUAAAGUACUUUCAGCGAGGAGGCGUUACUCGCAGAAGAAGCACCGGCUAACUCCGUGCCAGCAGCCGCGGUAAUAC
rnacentral:rRNA from 1 species